AUUGGGGAUGAGCCUCACGGUACGCUGAGGUGAUGAUGAACCUCCCUCUCUGCUGAUU
rnacentral:snoRNA from 1 species